UACCUCUGUCGUCGUCCUAUCCACCAAUCCACCAAUCCAUCAACCAUCAUCCAUCAUCCGUCUACACUCCAUUACCUCUACUCUCUCUCUCUCUCUCUCAAUCUUCAUUUCCCAGAACCCUAAUUCCCGAAUCAUGGCCUCCAAAGCCCUUCCUCAGGCUCUGAUAACAAUGCCAAGAAACCCUACCCAUCACCCGCCGGUAAAGCUUGGGUUUUCCGCUUCCCUCUCUCGUCGUUCUUCUUCUAAUUCCGCCCGGGUCUCGCUCUCUAGGGUUUCGUCGAUCUCAUUUGGGUCCAGCUUCAGUCCCAUCGUCGCUGCAAUGUCGAGACUGGACUUUGUUGUGAGAGCAGAUUCGAGCACUGAAGGUGAAGCUGAAGCAGUUGGAAGUGAAGAGGCCUCAGAGGCCAUCGUAGAAGCUGAAGCUGAACCAGUUGUGGAGUCUGAGCCUGAAGAGCCGAAGACGCCCAGAAAGUCUCGGGUUAAGCUUGGAGACAUAAUGGGGAUAUUAAACAAGAGGGCAGUUGAGGCAGCAGUGCAAGAAAGGCCAGUUCCGGACAUUAGAACUGGAGACGUUGUGCAAAUCAAACUGGAAGUUCCUGAAAAUAAGCGUAGGUUGUCUGUUUAUAAAGGCAUUGUCAUUUCAAGACAAAAUGCUGGCAUUCACACAACCAUUCGCAUUCGGAGGAUUAUUGCUGGAAUAGGGGUUGAGAUUGUGUUCCCGCUGUACUCACCAAACAUUAAGGAGCUAAAGGUACUGAGCCACAGGAAGGUUAGGAGGGCAAGGCUGUACUAUUUGAGAGACAAGCUUCCAAGGUUCUCAACUUUCAAAUGAGAAAUUGUACACGGCUCUUGUUUGGUUGUUUUCACUGUCAGAGGAGUCCCCGGAAUACUCACAUUUUCAUAAUUAAUUAGGAAGAAGAAGAAAAAGUUUCCAACAACUGCGACAUCAAGCUUCCAGUAAUGCAUGUAUUUUAUGUUUCCUUC